AGUGAAUGACUGACUGUUAGUGAAUGACUGACUGUUGGUCAAUGACUGACUGUUUGUGAAUGACUGACUGUUAGUGAAUGACUGACUGUUGGUGAAUGACUGACUGUUGGUGAAUGACUGACUGUUGGUGAAUGACUGACUGUUAGUGAAUGACUGACUGUUGGUGAAUGACUGACUGUUAGUGAAUGACUGACUGUUAGUGAAUGACUGACUGUUAGUGAAUGACUGACUGUUGGUGAAUGACUGACUGUUGGUGAAUGACUGACUGUUAGUGAAUGACUGACUGUUAGUGAAUGACUGACUGUUAGUGAAUGACUGACUGUUAGUGAAUGACUGACUGUUGGUGAAUGACUGACUGUUGGUCAAUGACUGACUGUUAGUGAAUGACUGACUGUUGGUGAAUGACUGACUGUUAGUGAAUGACUGACUGUUGGUGAAUGACUGACUGUUAGUGAAUGACUGACUGUUAGUGAAUGACUGACUGUUAGUGAAUGACUGACUGUUGGUCAAUGACUGACUGUUAGUGAAUGACUGACUGUUAGUGAAUGACUGACUGUUAGUGAAUGACUGACUGUUGGUCAAUGACUGACUGUUAGUGAAUGACUGACUGUUAGUGAAUGACUGACUGUUAGUGAAUGACUGACUGUUAGUGAAUGACUGACUGUUAGUGAAUGACUGACUGUUGGUGAAUGACUGACUGUUGAUGAAUGACUGACUGUUAGUGAAUGACUGACUGUUAGUGAAUGACUGACUGUUGGUCAAUGACUGACUGUUAGUGAAUGACUGACUGUUGGUGAAUGACUGACUGUUGGUCAAUGACUGACUGUUAGUGAAUGACUGACUGUUGGUCAAUGACUGACUGUUAGUGAAUGACUGACUGUUGGUCAAUUGUGUGUUACCCUUUUGUGCAGUGAUGGAAAACAUGUGCGGUUGCCAUUGCACCACAGCGUGCAAUGUGUGUCUAGUACUGGUCUUUAGCAAUAUGAAUUGUAUCUUCAGGUGUGUGUGUUCUGUCAUACUAUACAGUGUAUGUGUGCGAGGCUAAGGGGGACUGUAUGCUUCACGUGUCCUGAACAGAACAUUUGAGCAACCAAUCCUGGACUUGUUACUACAGUUGUGUUGUUGUUGUUUUUCUGUUGAGUUCUUUUGUCUCUUGGAUUCUGACUUCCUGUUUCCAUGUUCUCCUCCGUCUUGUUGAAACGUACCUGUGGGGAAACAACAUGUAAAAACACAUACAGACAUAUACAUACAAAAACACACAACAAAUAAGACAUGUAUGAAAUAUGUAUAUGUGUAAAAUAAAAGGUGUAUAUAAAAUGGUGUCAUCGUUA